GUACUACUUCCAUUGCUACAAAUGGUUCUAUCUCCACUAUUACAAAAUAUUACAAAAAAUAAUGCAUGCAUUAAGAAGGCCAUUUUCAACUCUGCUAAAUUAUGUUCUGUUUCCUCUCUGCCCUGUCUGGCCCUCAGCAUUUUUAUGUGAACUUCUUUCUGCUUCCUGCUUUUCUGCAUGCCAAACUGCAUUCUUCCAUGUGAAGUGGGACAUGAUGGAAUGUUCAACAUGUUGUUUUCAGAACCUGGAUCUGUUGAUCUGGCUUUGCAGCUCUUUUGGUGUAUGAACAUCUUACUACGGAGAGAUUUCCCUCUGAAUUCUGGCCAAGCCUUAACUGCUAAGAAAUCUGAUGUUAAAUUAAAAAAUACAAAUGGACUGAUCAGGCCAUAAAACUGAAAUCAAGAUAUGUAAUGAACAGGUGCCACAGAACUGACGAACAAUUCACACUUCUAAAUAGUAAAGUUUCCAGCUACAGAUGAUAUUAGAACAAAGAGCUACAUAACAGCAGAUUAAAGAAUCCCUCCCCAUAUCAAAAUACAGUAUCUCGUCUAUUUCACGGCCAAGGCAUAUAGUGUGGAAGGUGAAAAAAAUGAUUGGCUGGGACAUGUUUUCCCAAGCUGCAAUGGAAAUUUCAUGGAUUGAACCAGUGAUUGAGCACCUGGUGGGAAGGCAGGGUCAACCGAGGGGAGCUCAGGUGCAUGCAAUGUACCUGAGUCACCGGAAUGGAUGGGUGGAGCCAGGAUUCACCUCUUCUCAGACCUGGACAUUCCUGAGGCCUUCUGAAGAGCCUUGAUGAAACAUCCAGCUCAGGAAACACAAUGGCUUUAAACACUUCACUGAAAAGAGAACAAUAUUUGGAUACCACUUACCUCUGAGGCAGUUCUUCUGGAAAUUAUAUUUCUUUCUUGGGAUCAAAAGAAAGCACAUCAAUAUGAGCGAUGGAGUCUACAAAGUGAAUUUGCAGCUGUUUUAUGUAAACUGUGAGAAGUGAACUAUGGACACUAACAAGGAGGCUAAAGCACUUCAGAACGAAGGAUUUCCGUUCUGACGAGUAAAAAUACGGCAUCUUCUCACGCUGAAUUUCUGUCCAUUCACUGACUGACACUGCAGUUGUGCUUAAGCAACUUCAGGUUCAGAAUAUGACCUGCAGGACAUAUUGCAAAGCCUGACUUUUUUCAAGAGGGCUGUCAUUCUACCAGUAGGUUCAGGUUCAGCAAUCAAUGCUGGUUUUCAGAUCCUUAUUAUGUGAAUGAAUUUAGUGAAGUACAAGACAUAAAAUUAUUAAAAGAACAUGCUGAACAAUCAAGCAUACCUCUGGAUCAUUUUAUAGAAUAUUGCAUGGAAAAUCUGGUCGAAUGGUCUUCCUUUCAACUGUUAAGAAAACACUAUAUUCAGGCCUAACUGAGAACUUAUUUUCUUCAAGAAGUUAAGCACUUCUCUGUCCUCCACAAAAACUGAACUUUAUCAGCAUCUCUGCCAGGUUGGAACUCUGUGUAAGAAGAGUUCAUAUGGACAAAAUAUACUGAUUUUUAGCUUAUUACUGUAAGCCUGCAUAUGUUGUAUUAUUUAUAUUUAUCUCAACUAAAGGUUAGCUCAGUUAGGUGAUAGCUCUUCUAGAAUAUCAAUUUUAAAUAAAAUAACCAAGAGGCAAACUACUGUUAGGCACUUUGCAAAUAGAAUGCCAAUGACAGCUGCUGUCCCACAGAAUAUAAAAUUUGCCUGUGAUUUGUGACAAUUUGGAGAACUGCCUGUAAAACAGCAAAAUGAAAGACCAAUUAAUAAUGACAGCACUUUUCCAGCAAAACGCAAAAGUAAUUCAACAAAAUCCUUCAAUAACUUUGACCAUAAAUAAUAAAAUUUUGACCUCCAGAUUGUCAGAACAUACACGUCUACAAAAUAUUAGUCUCUGACCACCUUAUUUCUCUGUCCACUGGAUUGCAUGGUCAACAGCACUUGGCAAAGUACCUUUCUGCUACCAGUCCAAACUUAUUUUGGAAUAGACAAGGGCUCUGACUCUGUACAACUCAAGACAACUGCUGAAUCCACAGAGGGUUCUCUUAAAAUAUGUUCAUCUUUCUCUUAGAACCAGUCACUGUUAUGAUGACAGGUGACCUGAGAAACCUGAAUUUCUGCCAGCAGAUUCCUGAGUCCCAUUAUAGAACCACACAGGUAUUUUUCAACUGAUGUAGGAUCUCUGGUAUGACCUUCUCUGAAAUGUACUGACUUUAUUGUAAGUAGUAUCUUUCUAAUACUGGCACCACCUUCAUACAUUUUAAUGAGCUGCCCUGAAAAUAAUAGACUUUUGUCAAAUGAUUCAAAAUAUCUCAGCUCUGAAAGGAAUAUUUUGCAUCAGCAUCAGUUCAUAGACUCAUAUUCCCAGCCUCUCCUCCUUUAAAUCUUGAAGGAAAAAGACAGCUUAUUCUCAUUUAAUGUGGCAAAGGAUGUGGUUUUGUUGUUGAUUUGCUUAUCCUCAACUUGUGAUUUAUUUGUAUAUUAAACUAACUCAGUCUAUUUUUAGUUAUUUAUUUCAUGCUACAACUAUGUUCUAAAUUAUUAUGCUCCCUUCUAUGGCUCCAGUCCAAAUAAGUGAAAUUGGCUAAUGAGUCAAUAUAGCUACAUGAUAGACUGAUGUAAUGUUGCAAUUUACUUAGCAGUAGUUUUCCAGAUUUCUGAGAGUUAUUGCAAAGAAUCAUUUUUAAAAGUACUACAACAACAAAAUCUUGGGUCCCAGCCGCUACUCAUAUGUUCUGACCUGUACCUCCUCAUUUAUAUGUAUGAAAACAAGGCAGCUGGUAGGCUAAACUAUUGCAAGGAGCUUUAUACUAAUGCCUGAUUAGAACGAUGGCUUGUUGAAUCCUGUCUAUUUUUCUUUUGAAAAGUAUAGUACAACUGUAAUAUCAUCACAUACAAAAAUACGAUAGGUAUUGAAAAACAGGUUGUACAGUAUUUUUAUUUUUCUCACCCAAGUCUUAGGUAGAAACGCCAUGUGGUUGUACAUAUAUAGGGAUAUAAUUUUGGCAAAGUUUUACCAUUUAUUUAUAGAUAGCCAUGUAGUAAAGUAAUCUCAGUGACUUCAUUUUAAUUCAACAUCAAUCAAACUUCACAAAAAUAGGCAUUUAUUCAGAUGGCCUAAUGAAUUGGGACUUUAAUCUUUUGUGGGUUUUGAGAUCAUACUUUAAAAAUUACCAAAUUAGUUGAGAAUGAUUUUUUACCAAAAACAACAUUAAAACAUCCUCUAUGAUACAGCAGUAGGAAUGUAUUUUUUAUUAAAUUACCUGGAUGAAAAGUUUGGUUUGUAUAAUCCCAUCUGGGAAAAAAUCAUUCAAUAAUGGAAGAGAUCCUCUGCUAGGGGAUGCAAAAGUCAUGAUAUUUUGUGCAACCUCACACAUGCUGAAGAUGCUUUUCUUUAUGGGAUAUUAAUACAACACUUAAAAUUACAAGCAUUAGACAAAGUGUUUUAGACAGCAUUUUCAGCAUCAGAAGAUUUAUCAUAUGCAUACAUAUUAACAUAAUUGUGCCUUUGUGGAGUUUAUUCACUUUUGUUCUGAAAAUAUUUUUCUAUGCUUUCACAACCUUUCUCUGAAAUAUAUAAGGAAUGUUAUGUUUUGCAAUAAAAUCCAAAGAAAAACAGUUGAAAAUUUUCCUCUGAAUAUUGUAGUGUGCCUCAGUUUUAUUGCAGUAAAUUAUAUUUAGGUAACACCACCAUUUUUUAACAGAAUACAAGGAUGCUGCCUGUUACAUUCCCACUGAGCUGAUAUAUGCAAAGAGGAUCACAAUGAUUGCUCUGGUCCUUAUGGUGGUCGGCUGAAAUAAAAAGCAGUAGAAGCAGAUUGUACAGGGAGAAAAGGAAAAGCAUCCUUAUCUGAAAGAAAGUGGCCACUGUUUCUUCUGUUUUUCCUCUGUGUUGGCAUGUGUGGAAUUGUGCCACAGAAGAUGCACUGCAGGGCCAAGUCAGGAAUUCCUCUCUUUUGCAGCCCUAAUCUCUAUUGCUUUUGCAGUGCAAUGACACAAACAUUCUGUUCCAGAUGUCCCAAAUAAAUUGAACAUUUUAAGUUCUCUGCUGGCAUAAACUAAUACAGCACCACCAAAGUCAGUAAAGCUUUCCCUAUUUACAAUGAUGAAAAAAUUAGUCCUCUCUGUAGAGAUCUAGCAGUUCAGCUACCGUGGAAGACUGAUUUCCUGUCAAUAAUAAAUGUCCUCAGUAUCCUACACAAGUCUUCAUUUUAUCGCCUCUGGACAUUUUUUAAUAGCUGCAAGUCUC
ensembl:lncRNA